CGGCGUUGGCUGCUCUGGUGACGGGAGGAGCUAGAGGAGGAUUUAGUCUGUGUCCAAACAAGAAGCCAUUGGCGAACUAGAGCUAGCUUCAAGGUCAGAGGACAGGCAGUCUUGUGACCUAGGGUUAGGAGCCACACCGGUCAUAGCGGCGGCUGAAAAACGAAUCAAACCGUCUUUAAAAUGUUUUCACGGUAAACAACCAGCUGUCGAACAGAGGCAGCCUUCAAACUGCAGGAUGACAACAGCAGACUUUUUUCUGUUUUUCUAGUGGUGAGAACAUGGAUGUCAGACGUGUAAGCUGCUUCGUUUCCACGGUGAUAAACCUUCCACUCCAAAGGUGAUGAAAGGCCUCUGACACCCAACGCAUAUGCACAUGUACAAGCGCACACGCACACAUGCACACUUUCACGCGCACCCACACAUGCACACGCACACAUCUACACACACACAUCUACACGCACACAUCUACACGCACAGAACCACACGCAUACAUAUGCCUGUUGUGUGGCUCUCUGAAACAGCUCUGUAACAUCGUCCGAUGUUAGAGAGUUCAGUCAAUAACAAUGUUUUUUGACUCAACUCUCAAGAGACAAUAACAAUGUUUACACUAGACAAGUUCAUCAACUCUGACUGCGAACACAAACGACACCAGAACACUAGUGAGACAGAGUGAACAAUACCGACACCAGAAGAUUAGUGAGACAGAGUGAAAACUAGUGAGGCAGACUGAACACUAGUGAGACAGAGUGAACACUAGUGAGGCAGAGUGAACACUAGUGAGACAGAGUGAACCCUAGUGAGGCAGAGUGAACACUAUUGAGACAACGGUAAAAAUAGUGAGGCAGAGCGAACACUAGUGGGACAGAGGGAACACUAGUAAAACAGAGUGAACACUAUUGAGGCAGAGUGAACACUAUUGAGACAGAUUAAACAUUAGUGAGAAAGAGUGAGGUAGAGUGCACACUAGUGAGACAGAGUGAACACUAGUAAGCCAGAGUGAGGCAGAGUGAACUCUAGUGAGACAGAGUGAACACUAUUGAGGCAGAGUGAACACUAGUGAGGCAGAGUGAGGCAGAGUGAACACUAGUGAGGCAGAGGGAACACUACCAACACCAGACCAGCAGUAAGAAACCGAAUGCCUCCUUUGUUGCGGUGUUUUGUGUUAUGUUAUAUUAUGUUGUGGUAUGUUAUGGCAUGCUAUGGUAUUCUUUUGCUACAUUCAGAACUGGUAUUAUUUGCAUAUGAACUUAUCACUGCCUCAAACAUCCAGACUGGGAAUCUGUGUUCUGAACCAGUCCACAUGCCCCCCCUCCACAGACUGGUUCAUAUUAUCGCCUUACAUCACUCUCUCCUGGUGAUCAAAACGACACCACCGCAGUCUGACGCACACUGGCACACUGCCAGUGUGAGUGUCUGUUUGUGUGUUUUUCUGUGUGUGUUUUUGUGUGCGUGUUUGUGUGUGCAUUUGGAUGUAAGUGUGUGUGCGUG
ensembl:lncRNA